CUUACAGGAGGCCUGGACUCCAGAUGCUGCACUCACAUCCACUGUGCCACCACACCAAAUGACUCGGACUCAGGGAACACACCAGCCACCAGAGAGCUAAGUCACCCUUACACAGGGAGGACUGGCAAGUGACAGUCAACAAGGCUGAUGGAGAGUUCUCAUGCUAAAAGAUCCUCAAACAGCAAUACGCCAUGUGCUGGUGGCAAUGUCCAGGAGACAAGAAAUGCUCCCAUCGGACAUGGCUCAGAGUUCAGGAGCUGAUUCCUGGUGAUCUCAGUGGGUGAUUUCGUGUUGACCCCAUUUUGGAGAGCUCAAGUUUAGACAACUGAGAGAAGAAAGCAGUCAGCACAACAUGGCUAAUGUUAAUUUGCUACCUGGAGGCUUCCAGGGCAGGGACCCCAGAAAUUUUUCACCAUUCGCCUGUCUCACAUACAGUGGGGCUUUGCCAGCCACCUCCUGGGAACCCCCAAUCAGAUGGGUGAAGAGGCCUCGACCGCCUGCAUCUGGCGCUCAUCAGCAGAAAGUCACUUUUCCCUGGACUGACAGUCCCUUCCCACAGCAAGGCUCACAGCAGCUAUGACGGGACCUCAACGCAGCUGGCUGAGGGCCCAGGAACCUCUGAGAAUGAAGCACUUCCCUGUUGCUUUCAGAUGGCUUGUCUAGAAGAUGAUUAAAUAAAAAAG
rnacentral:lncRNA from 1 species